UGCGUAGGCGGGCUAAUAAGUCAGUGGUGAAAUCUUUCGGCUCAACCGAGAAACUGCCAUUGAUACUGUUAGUCUUGAGUUCGGUUGAGGUAGGCGGAAUGUGUAAUGUAGCGGUGAAAUGCUUAGAUAUUACACAGAACACCAAUUGCGUAGGCAGCUUACUAGACCGACACUGACGCUGAGGCACGAAAGCGUGGGGAGCGAACAGGAUUAGAUACCCUGGUAGUC
rnacentral:rRNA from 1 species